CUAAAAUCUAUUUAUCUUCUUCUCAGCCGCCGAUCCUCUUCACCCCCAUCUCUCCCCUUCGCAACCUUCCUCCUCAUCUUCUUCACAUCUUCCCUUCGCAACUCUUCCGUGUAGCAGCUCUGUGAACCUUCCUCCUUAUCCUCUUCCGUGUAGCAUCUUCAGAUCUGCAUCUCCGCUCCAGGAAGGGGAGGUCGAUCUUAUUGAGAGCAAACAGGUUAUAUUUCUGGUUAUGCAUUCACUUUGGAAACCUUCGCUGUUUUCUAAUUCCUAUUCAUCUUUGUACUCAUUGAUUUUCUUUCUUUGUAAAAAAAUUUCUUUGUAAUUUGAUGGCAUUACAGUGAAAACCAAUUGUUCAAAUGUUUUUUAUUUCUUCUCUGUUUAAGUAACAAGUUUGAUUAUUAUUCUUUGCUUUGCUUUGUGAGUUUGUACAUAUUCUGCCUCUGUAGUGCAGUACCACUAACACUUCAAAUAUUCUGGCUUUCUGGUAAUGAUAAAAUUCUGGCAAUGUCGAUCAA